AUUUUUUACAAUGGGCGCAAGCCUGAUCCAGCCAUGCCGCGUGAGUGAAGAAGGCAUUCGGGUAGUACCGCUCUUUCGGACGGCAAGAAAACGCGCUGGCGAAUACCCUACGCGGAUGACGGUACCGUCAUAAGAAGCACCGGCUAACUACGUGCCGUCAGCCGCGGUAAUACGUAGGGUGCGAGCGUUAAUCGGAAUUACUGGGCGUAAAGGGUGCGCAGGCGGUUGAUUAAGACAGGCGUGAAAUCCCCGGGCUUAACCUGGGAACUGCGCUUGUGACUGGUCAGCUAGAGUACGGAAGAGGGGGGUGGAAUUCCACGUGUAGCAGUGAAAUGCGUAGAGAUGUGGAGGAACACCGAUAGCGAAGGCAGCCCCCUGGGCCGAUACUGACGCUAAUGCACGAAAGCGUGGGUAGCAAACAGG
rnacentral:rRNA from 1 species